CUCACUCAAGAAAUGAAGUGAUUAGAUGCAUCCAAUUGGGCUUAUUAUGUGUCCAGGAAGAUCCAGCUGAGAGGCCAUCAAUGGCAACAAUAGUUCUCAUGCUCAAUAGUUACUCUGUCACACUUCCGUCGCCUCAACAGCCUGCAUUUUUCAUAGGCAGUCGAACUGAGAGGAGCUUGCCCACAAAAGAAUUUGAGUUCUCUGAUAAAUCUACAAACAAGUCGAUGCCAUGGUCUGUUGAUGAAGCAUCAAUUACUGAAGUAUACCCCCGUUAACCAGUAAGAAUAGUUGACGAUGCUUCUUCUUUAUGUUCGUAUAUGGUCUACCCACCGGGAGUGCUGGUACAUUACGGGGGAGAAUGACAUGGUUUAUGGCAAGCAAUAAUGAUAAAGAGGAGGUGCCCUUCAAAUUGAAUGGCGCCGCGUUACAUUUUCCAAAGUUUUUAUUUGUUGAAGUAUAUGAUUAUUGUAUGGAUGAGUAAUGAUGCAACGUUGGGAAAUCAAAUAUUCCAUUACGGUAUCGUUUGCGUUUAGUGUCGUCCGGUUAGUGUUUGCUGGGUCCGGACUCCGGAGGCCAAUUUUCCAUUACGAUGUAGUUUGUGUAAGAAUCCAGUUCUGUCUGAGUCUUUAAUUUUUUUUUCCCCUGAAAAUUGUCUCAAUCUAUUUAAUUUGGUGAAAUUUUCGACAAAAUUUGACUGAGAUUUUCCGUCUUUCGUGCUUGGCUUCACUUUUGUUGACUUCGGGUAGACGAGUCUCCUCUGCGAUAAUCAACUUUUGCAUCUUCACCACGCGUCUCAACUUUCAAACAAAGUUGUUUGAUCAACCUCAUCGCCAUUCACCAACAAUAAUACUUAAUAAAACAACAGAGAAAUUAAAAGCAAUAAAAAAUAAAAAUAAAAAGAGGAAGAUAGACGAUCAUCACAUAUGUAGAUCCGUAGUACUAAGAACUAUUUAUUAUAUUCAUUCCCGGGUGAGGUCAGCCUGAGGCUGAGAGCGAGAAUCCAAAUGCGCUCCUUCAAAUUAUUCAUUUUCUUUCGGUUUCUGUCUUUUGUAAGCAUUUUUCUCAGAUUCACAACUGCAGCUGACCCAGAAUACCUCGCUCAUAAUUGCCCAAAUACAACAACUUUCAGCAGGAACAGCACUUCUCAAUCCAACCUUUUCUUCUUGUAAUGCUAACUGAGUUAUACCAGACUCUUGAACAAGAACUAAGUAACUCACCAACCCAGAAUUAACAAAAACAAGACCAGAAAAGGAAGCAAAGAAACACAAAGCAAACCAAGAACUACCAACACACCAAGAAACUAACGUGGUUCAGCUCCACAAAGGAACCUACAUCCACGGCUGAAAAUGCCAGCUAGGGCUGAAGCUUUAUUGAACAAAAAUGGCCGAUUACAAUGACUCUCAACAAUACAGAUUGAAACUCUCUAAGCUUAGUGUUUCCUCUCUCUGUAACGCAUUCUUUUGUAUAUCCUCUCUUCUGGCUUCAGAGAAGCUUAUAUGCUCUGCUUUUCACACGUGUGUAUCCUCUUAACGAAACCAAGCUGUAACAACUUAACAGCUUAUUCUUUUUGGAUCCCACUAACGCCAGCUCAUCAGCCACCUCAGCAAGCUCAAUAACAGAAUAUAUCUAAUCUUUGGCUUCACACUUCUCUUCUCUGCCCACUAACGCCAGCCGCAGCAACGGAUUCUUCAGCCGUUUCUACAACGCCACAGCAGGCCAAGACUCUGACACAGUCUACGGCCUCUUCCUCUGCCGUGGCGAUCUUGGCAGCAGCGCCUGCCAAGACUGUCUCACUUUUGCUGCCAGAAAUGUUAAUAUCAAAAUUUCCUUCUUCCUUAUGUUGCAAAGUCCCUUCGUCAAAUCUCAACUCUUCUAACAUAUAAUCCCUUUUUGUUUUGUUUUGUACAAUUUCAUUCAUAUACUAUGACAAAUCGAUAAAUUUGCCACCAAAUUUAUAUCGAAAGUUCAAUUUGAUACCAAAGAAUUUUGAUAAUAGCUCUCUGUACCACCGAACCUUUUUUUUAUGUUAACAUCGAUGGGCAAACGUUGAUGUUGCAGGGGCAAUUUCGGUAUUUCAAAAUUUGGUUUCAUCUGGUAAAAAGCGACGCCUGUUUAUAAAAAAAAAGGGCCAAUGAUGGUUUGAUAUAAAAUGAAAAAGUUGAGUGCUACAGAGAAAUUGAUAAUUUCCUAAUCAGAAAAUACAAAUGUAAUUACUAUUAUUAAAUUUAACAUUGUAGUUGAUAUGUAUUUUGAGAAACAAACUUCAUUCUAAUUGUUCUUUUAAUAUUCAUAUCCAUAUCGAUAAAGAAAAAACUAUAUCUAUAUCAAUUUUAAUAAAUGUUAAAAGAACAGUUAAGAUGGAAUUAGUUCCUUAAAAUAAUUAUUUUUUUGAAAUUUAAUUGUAAUUGAUAUGUAUUUAUUAAAAUUGGUUUAAAUAUAAUUGUUAAAAGAACAAUUAAGAUGAAUUUUUUUAAAUAAAAAAUAAAAAAUUUCAGAAUUUUUAAAAUUAAUAAUAUUAAAAUUUAGCAGCGGAUCAAUGGGUGACACAUGUCUGCCCCCUAUUGAAUGUUAAAUUAACUUUAAUAAAUUAUAUUCAUAUUUAAAGACUUUAAUUAAUAACUUAAAUAAAAUUAUAUGAAAACUUAAUCGUAUAAUUUCAUAUUGGGCGUUGUAGGGGCAAUUUCAUAUAUAACUAUUUUUGUUACUUUUGUUUUUUCCAUUUAAGUGGAUAAAUCGUCCUUAUAUAUAUUUAAAUAAUUCUUAUGAUAAACCUGUCCUGUGUAAAGUAUAUGUAAACUAUUUUAUCACUUUUUAAGUGGUAAUUUGAUAUAACAAUUUGAGUGUUGGAGUACGUUUUUGUAGGUAUCCCGUCAUCAUUAAAGCUUAUCCAAUGAGGAAAGAAGAUAAUUUUUUGUUGCGAAGGAAAAAGUCCAAUGAGGAAAGAAGAUAAUUUCACAAAUGCAUUUUCAAAUUUAUCAAAAGCUAAUCAUUCAUAUAUAUAUAUUCUAAAGCAAAUAAAACAAAUCAUUUGAAAAUAUCAAAGACAUGCUUAAUAUUUUGGAGCAGGUAAUUAUUGAAAUUGGAAGAGAGAGUGAUUCUGGGGUUUUCAUCCGCCUCUCCAUAGGUGAAAAUCGCGCAACUCAAAUGUUUAUUUGUCCUUCAAACUAAUUUCACAAUGGCUCUUGUGAUAUGACAAGUGGCGUUCAAAUAGCCGUACUCUUUCAGUUUGCAAGUGUACCCAUCAUUCAAGCCCAGCCCAGCCCAGCCCAUUUGCACCCAACAUAAUGGGCUGCUUAUGAAAUACUCUCCUAUAAUUCUGUCGAAGUAUAUAUGGAACCCCAUCAUUGGUUUCUGAACCUCGUUUCCUGCAAAAAUCAAUUACGCAAAUAAUGCCGUUGAAAUAGUAACAAUAAACUUUUCAAAGAAUGUACACGGGAAUCGGACUAGAUCAUGACAUUGUAGUGAAACAUGCGAUUUCGCUAAUUGGCCUCAAGAAGGUACGAAACGAUGACUUUUAAACUCUUCAAUUUGAAGAAUUUUCAAAUGAUAUUUGAAAGGUAUAAUAUUUAAUUAAUACAUAUAUAACAUGUAUAAUUUACUUCAAGUUAAGGAAGUCGUGUUCAUGCCCAACCUAGUUUUGAUCCAUCAGCAUUUUACGAUAAUUAAAGGACAAAAUACUCCCUGGAAAAUAUAUUCAUAAUUGACAGCUAACAUGUAUCUCUGACGUCACGAAUCGACUUCUGUCUUAAUCACUUUAAUUUUUUUUUUUUUUUCCCCUUCAUCUAACUUUCCACAAAUUCUUCAAUCACAAAAAAAUAAAAAUUCCAAAAUUUCAUUUGACUGAGGUUUUGCGACUGGUUUUUUCUCCGGGUGAUUGGAAGCAAACAAGUAAUUAAUUGGGACGGGACGAGCUUGACUUCACUUUGUUGACUUUGUGCAGACAAGUCCCGUUUCCCGACGCAACCUUUGCAGUUUCCACCACUCGUUUCUUCAUUAUAUUUGAUAAAAUCUGGUACCUAACAUUAAUAAAACAAAAGAUAGAAAAAAAAAUACAAGAAAAAGGAAGAAGGGAUAGAGGAUUGUAUUUGUAAUCCACAGUACGCAACAAAAACCUGGGAUUCCAAAUGCCGCCCUUGAAAUUCUUCAUGGUCUUUCCGUUUCUCAUAUAUCUUUUAAGCUCCCAGUUCAGUUUUACAGCUGCAGUUGACCCGGAAUACGUUUAUCAUUUUUGCUCAACAACAGCAAAUUUCACCAGAAACAGCACCUAUGAAAAAAACCUCAAUCUUCUCCUCUCUUCUAUUCCGACUAACGCCAGCCGUGGAAAUGGAUUCUCCAGCGGAUUUUUCAACGCUACAGCUGGUCAAGACCCAAACAGGGUCUACGGUCUCUUUCUCUGCCGCGGGGAUCAAACCACCACCGGUUGUCAAGACUGUGCCACCUACGCUGCAAGAAAUGUACUUCAGCUUUGCCCAGUCAGCAAAGAAACAAUACUAUGGUACGCUGAGUGCCUUUUACGUUACUCGGAUCAGUCUAUCUUUUCUACCAUGGCCACAGCUCCCACUGUCUCUUUGUUGAAUACACAAAAUGUUACGGACCAAGGCAGGUUGAACGAGCUAGUGGGGACUCAGAUGAGCCAAGUUGUAACUCAGGCUGUGAAUAAUACCAAAAGGUUUGCAACGAGAAAAGCAAAUUUCACAACCUUUCAAACACUCUACAGUCUUGCGCAAUGUACACCGGACCUGUCAAGUUCGGAUUGUAACGCAUGUCUUCGAGGAGCUGUGGCACGGUUGCCAAGUUGUUGCAGUGGAAAGCAAGGAGGAAGAGUGUUGUUUCCGAGUUGUAACGUACGGUAUGAAUUGUACCCUUUUUACAAUGAACCAGCCACAGCGCCGCCAGCACCUGCUCCGGUUCUUCUUUCUCCUCCACCUCCUGGUUCGGUAACGACGUCUCGAGGUAAAUGUGAACCCACUUUUUAUUGCCAUUUUCAUUAUUUUAAGUUAUAUAUGCUUUAUCGUUUUCUUUUGAGGGGUCUGUCAAUGAUAUAUCUGUAAGUUAUGAUUUUAAGUGAAACGCAACGAGAUUUUAGGCUCCUUUUGGUAUUAAGCUAGAGCUAAAGUGUUUGAUGAGUACUUCAAGUGAUGAUUUUGAAGUCAAGUUAGUUUUAUCCUACUAUAUUAUUUAAAAUUUAUAUAUAUUACUACACUUUUGAUUUUUAUUUUAUAACUAUAAAUUUUUGUCUACAUAUAUGUGAUUGAUGAUUUUAACCAUUUAAAACAAUGUUGGUUCUGGAUAUUUAACAUUCAAUAUGAUAUUUUACAUUGAUGAAUUUCUAGUAUGCCUAAUGAAACAUAUUGUUUUUUUCCUGCAGGGAAAAGUGGAAUCUCAUCAUCAACAAUUAUCGCCAUUGUUGCUCCAAUUGCUGUCACUGCAGUGCUUUUUAUUUUGGGCUUCUGCUUCCUACGAAGGAAAGCAAAAAAGAAGUAUAAUGCUGUACCGGAAAGUAAUGGUAAGCACGAGAGCUUCUUUAUUACUAAAUCAAACAGUCUUUUAACAAGAGUAUGUAUGCAUACAAUUGUUGUAACCUUUUUUCGAAGACUGAAUUAAUUACUUUUUGUUUGUGCAGCUGAUAACGAUCUUACAACUCUAGAAUCCUUGCAAUUUGAUUUCGAGACAAUUGAAGUUGCCACAAACAAAUUCUCAACUGAUAACAAGUUGGGUGAAGGUGGAUUUGGUGAGGUUUAUAAGGUAUACCAUUCAUUAUCAUGACAUCUCUGAAAGUUUUUAGCAGUUGCAGGACACAUUACAAAUUUUCUAAUUGUUGAUUAAUGUACAUUUGCAGGGUGUACUUCCUAGUGGACAAGAAAUAGCUGUGAAAAGGCUAUCAAAAAGCUCAGGACAGGGUGCAGAAGAAUUUAAGAAUGAGGUUGUUUUGGUUGCCAAGCUUCAACACAGAAAUCUGGUUAGGCUGCUGGGAUUUUGCUUGGAGGGCGAAGAAAAGAUACUUAUCUACGAAUUUGUGCCAAACAAAAGCCUUGACUAUUUUCUUUAUGGUUAGGAUCAUUUACAUAAAUUUCAAUGUCUUAAGAGAGUUGAAUAUUCAAGAUUUUUUAAUAGAUUAUUCUAGUUUUUAUCCUUCUUUUCAAGACAGACAGAAUUUCUAGAUUGCAUUUAUAUUCAAUUUCCAAUUUUCAAUUUGAAGUAUUGAUUUUGAUAUGUGCACAGACCCUGAAAAACAAGGACAAUUGGAUUGGUCAAGACGUUACAAGAUAAUUGGAGGGAUUGCUCGAGGAAUUCUUUACCUUCAUGAAGAUUCUCGGCUCAGAAUUAUACAUCGUGACUUGAAAGCUAGUAAUAUACUCUUAGAUGCAGAGAUGAAUCCGAAAAUUUCAGAUUUUGGCAUGGCAAGGAUAUUUGGAGUUGAUCAAACCCAAGGAAAUACUAGCAGAAUAGUUGGGACAUAGUAAGUAUUGGCAACUAUUACCCUUUGUACAUAGUCUCCAUUUGGUUAGUUUACAAUUUAUGCAUUACAUCCCCUGGCAGAACCAUUUAGUGUGGAUUAUAAAUAAACUGCAUAGAGUUUUUUGAAUAAUUUCAAAAGCUUCGUUGUUGUCUUUCAUUGACUUAGUUGUUGGUUUACAGUGGUUACAUGGCCCCAGAAUAUGCUAUGCAUGGGCAAUUUUCUGUGAAAUCAGAUGUAUAUAGUUUUGGUGUCCUAGUUUUGGAGAUUAUAACUGGCAAGAAGAACAGCAACUUUUAUCAAACAGAUGGUGCUGCAGAUCUUUUGAGUUAUGUAAGUGCAGAUCUUUUGAGUUAUGUAAGCAUAAAUGUGAUAAUAUAUUGAAAUUUUUCCCCUUUGUUAGUGCCUAUAUCAUCACACACAAGUAAAAGCACUAAAGAAGAGGUAGAAACUGCGACCUUUUUUAAUAUACUUGAUAUACUGUUUGCAGGCUUGGAAACAAUGGAGGGAUGGAACUCCUUUGCAGUUGUUGGAUACAAAUCUGACAGAUUCUUACUCAAGAAAUGAAGUGAUUAGAUGCAUCCAAUUGGGCUUAUUAUGCGUCCAGGAAGAUCCAGCUGAGAGGCCAUCAAUGGCAACAAUAGUUCUCAUGCUCAAUAGUUACUCUGUCACACUUCCGUUGCCUCAACAGCCUGCAUUUUUCAUAGGCAGUCGAACUGAGAGGGGCUUGCCCACAAAAGAAUUUGAGUGCUCUGAUAAAUCUACAAGCAAGUCGAUUCCAUGGUCUGUUGAUGAAGCGUCAAUUACUGAAGUAUACCCCC
rnacentral:lncRNA from 1 species